UACGUAGGUGACCAGCGUUGUCCGGAUUUACUGGGCGUAAAGAGCGCGCAGGCGGUCGUUCAAGUCGAGUGUGAAAGCCCCCGGCUCAACUGGGGAGGGUCACUCGAUACUGAUCGACUUGAAGGCAGGAGAGGGAAGCGGAAUUCCCGGUGUAGUGGUGAAAUGCGUAGAUAUCGGGAGGAACACCAGUGGCGAAGGCGGCUUCCUGGCCUGUUCUUGACGCUGAGGC
rnacentral:rRNA from 1 species